rnacentral:rRNA from 1 species
GACGAACGCUGGCGGCGUGCUUAACACAUGCAAGUCGAGCGGAAAGGCCCUUCGGGGUACUCGAGCGGCGAACGGGUGAGUAACACGUGAGCAACCUGCCCCUGACUCUGGGAUAAGCCCGGGAAACUGGGUCUAAUACCGGAUACGACAUCGAUUCGCAUGGGUUGGUGUGGAAAGUUUUUUCGGUCAGGAUGGCGUCGCGGCCUAUCAGCUUGUUGGUGGGGUAGUGGCCUACCAAGGCG